ACGGAAGGCAGCAGUGGGGAAUAUUGCACAAUGGGGGAAACCCUGAUGCAGCGACGCCGCGUGAGUGAAGAAGUUAUUCGUAAUGUAAAGCUCUAUCAGCAGGGAAGAAAAUGACGGUACCUGACUAAGAAGCCCCGGCUAACUACGUGCCAGCAGCCGCGGUAAUACGUAGGGGGCAAGCGUUAUCCGGAUUUACUGGGUGUAAAGGGAGCGUAGACGGUCUAGCAAGUCUGAUGUGAAAGGCAGGGGCUCAACUCCUGGACUGCAUUGGAAACUGUUAGUCUUGAGUGUCGGAGAGGUAAGCGGAAUUCCUAGUGUAGCGGUGAAAUGCGUAGAUAUUAGGAGGAACACCAGUGGCGAAGGCGGCUUACUGGACGAUAACUGACGUUGAGGCUCGAAAGCGUGGGGAGUAAACAGGAUUAGAUACCCUGGUA
rnacentral:rRNA from 1 species